UGCGUAUUGAGGGAAGACAAACCAACUGGGACAGACUUCGCUCCACGUUGCUUUUGAGGAAUACAGGAGAAAUUCCUGCAUAGAUGCCCAUGUUCACCUCCAUUCAUCUCCACCUGCAAAGAAACACAUGGAUCUGGCUUCUUUGUGGAUUCUCUUUGAGUCCUCUGACACUCCCAGGAGUGGUUCCUACGUGAGGGCAUGUCACUCAUCAUUCCCCAACCGCCACCCUGGGGUCAGCUCAGAGCUUGGAGGAAGUAGCCUCUGAGUAAGAGCGCCACCCGUGGUAGACAUAACCCACAGCUCCAUCGGCCCAGAUCACUUCCUGGGUGCAGCCCAGAUCACUUCCUGGGUGCCUGUGUGUGCCUCCUUCUGAUCCCAGGUUCUGUUCACCUCACCUGACACUUUCAGAGCCAGUUCUCAAUUCAGAUGAUAAUCUAGCACAAAAAAUAAAACGACCCUCACCUAAAAGAAGCCACAGCGGCAAAGGAAGACGCUCGGCCAUCAUUUCUUCUCAGCCCUCAGUUCCCUCACCCAGCCGUCCAAGCAGGUCAACAGAGGAUCAGAGUCAAAGCAGAUCCUGAAAACCUAUGAGCAAAAGAUCAGUAAGUCCAGCUCCAUCCCUAGGAACACCCCCAGGAACACAGGUUGGUGACCACCAACACUUUGCCCCACAUAAUUCAAUGCGCACACGACAGGCAAACAAAAUGAAUGGGAGCAUCUGUGUGGCACUUAAUUCAAGGUUAGGUACCAUCUGAAUGAUAGAGCCUGGGUUCCAAAGUUGUGAUAUAAUUUUACUUAUAUGUUUCGAGUCCUUAUUAUGUCUCGUAUAACCACUUAUAUCCCCAAAUCCUUUUCGGAAUCGUCCAAGAGAAGAAUCUCCAUGUGUCCCAAUCGAUGUUUAUUUGACCUUGGGUUACGAUAAAGAGCAGUGCCAUAUUCGUGCUAUAAUUUAAUACUGCUCUCAGCUGUUUCUAUUAUGAGUUCUGGACAUCCGGGAGCUCAUAAGAUGACUGGGAUUUGCAAAUUCUUCCCAUAUGUGUGGACUUGCAUAGACUUGCGAUGUUAAGAAAAUAAAAGCUCUAUUACAGCUGGA